GGGCGGUUAGUUCAAUGGCAGAACGUCGCUUUUACACAGCGAAGGCUGUAGGUCCGAUUCCUACACCGCCCA
rnacentral:tRNA from 5 species